UACGGGGGGGGGCAAGCGUUGUUCGGAAUUACUGGGCGUAAAGGGCUCGUAGGUGGCCAACUAAGUCAGACGUGAAAUCCCCAGGCUCAACUUGGGAACUGCGUCUGAUACUGGAUGGCUUGAAUUCGGGAGAGGGAUGCAGAAUUCCAGGUGUAGCGGUGAAAUGCGUAGAUAUCUGGAGGAACACCGGUGGCGAAGGCGGCAUCCUGGACCGACACUGACACUGAGGAGCGAAAGCCAGGGGAGCAAACAGG
rnacentral:rRNA from 1 species